rnacentral:rRNA from 1 species
CCUGACUGCUAUCGGAUUGAUACUAAGCCAUGCGAGUCUUUGCAGUAAUGCAAGGCAUACGGCUCAGUAACACGUAGUCAACUUACCCUAUGGACGAGGAUAAUCUCGGGAAACUGAGCAUAAUACUCGAUAGAUCAUAAUGCCUGGAAUGGUUUAUGGUUGAAAUGAUUCGUCGCCAUAGGAUGGGACUGCGGCCUAUCAGCUUGUUGGUGAGGUAAUGGCCCACCAAGGCGAUUACAGGUACGGGCUCUGAGAGGAGAAGCCCGGAGAUGGGUACUGAGACAAGGACCCAGGCCCUAUGGGGCGCAGCAGGCGAGAAAACUUUGCAAUGUGCGAAAGCACGACAAGGUUAAUCCGAGUGAUUUCUGCUAAAGAAAUCUUUUGCAAGUCAUAAAACCACUAGUGAAUAAGGGGUGGGCAAGUUCUGGUGUCAGCCGCCGCGGUAAAACCAGCACCUCAAGUGGUCAGGAGGAUUAUUGGGCCUAAAGCAUCCGUAGCCGGCUCUGUAAGUUUUCGGUUAAAUCCAUGUGCUCAACGCAUGGGCUGCCGAAAAUACUGCAUAGCUAGGGAGUGGGAGAGGUAGACGGUACUCGGUAGGAAGGGGUAAAAUCCUUUGAUCUAUCGAUGACCACCUGUGGCGAAGGCGGUCUACCAGAACACGUUCGACGGUGAGGGAUGAAAGCUGGGGGAGCAAACCGGAUUAGAUACCCGGGUAGUCCCAGCUGUAAACGAUGCAGACUCGAUGAUGCAUUGGCAUAUAGCCAGUGCAGUGUCGCAGGGAAGCCGUUAAGUCUGCCGCCUGGGAAGUACGUACGCAAGUAUGAAACUUAAAGGAAUUGGUGAAAGGGCACCACAAGGGGUGAAGCCUGCGGUUC